rnacentral:rRNA from 1 species
UACGAAGGGGGCUAGCGUUGUUCGGAAUUACUGGGCGUAAAGCGCGCGCAGGCGGUCUUCCAAGUCAGGGGUGAAAUCCUGGAGCUCAACUCCAGAACUGCCUUUGAUACUGGGGAUCUCGAGUCCGGGAGAGGUGAGUGGAACUGCGAGUGUAGAGGUGAAAUUCGUAGAUAUUCGCAAGAACACCAGUGGCGAAGGCGGCUCACUGGCCCGGUACUGACGCUGAGGUGCGAAAGCGUGGGGAGCAAACAGGG